rnacentral:rRNA from 1 species
GAUGAACGCUGGCGGCGUGCCUAAUACAUGCAAGUCGAGCGAACAGACGAGGAGCUUGCUCCUCUGACGUUAGCGGCGGGCGGGUGAGUAACACGUGGAUAACCUACCUAUAAGACUGGGAUAACUUCGGGACACCGGAGCUAAUACCGGAUAAUAUAUUGAACCGCAUGGUUCAAUAGUGAAAGACGGUGUUGCUGUCACUUAUAGAUGGAUCCGCGCCGCAUUAGCUAGUUGGUAAGGUAACGGCUUACCAAGGCAACGAUGCGUAGACGACCGGAGAGGGGGAUCGGCCACACUGGAACUGAGACACGGUCCAGACUCCUACGGGAGGCAGCAGUAGGGAAUCUGCCGCAAUGGUCGAAAGCAUGACGGAGCAACGCCGCGUGAGUGAUGAAGGUCUUCGGAUCGUAAAACUCUGUUAUUAGGGAAGAACAAAUGUGUAAGUAACUGUGCACGUCUUGACGGUACCUAAUCAGAAAGCAACGGCUAACUACGUG